rnacentral:rRNA from 1 species
CCUACGGGUGGCAGCAGUAGGGAAUAUUGCUCAAUGGGGGAAACCCUGAAGCAGCAACGCCGCGUGGAGGAUGAAGGUUUUCGGAUUGUAAACUCCUUUUGUUAGAGAAGAUAAUGACGGUAUCUAACGAAUAAGCACCUGCCAAAGCCGUGCCAGCAGCCACGGUAAUACGGAGGGUGCAAGCGUUACUCGGAAUGACUGGGCGUAAAGAGCGCGUAGGCGGGAUAGCAAGUCAGAUGUGAAAUCCUAUGGCUGAACCAUAGAACUGCAUUUGAAACUGGUAGUCUAGAGUAUGUGAGAGGUAGGUGGAAUGCUUGGUGUAGCGGUAAAAUGCGUAGAGAGCAAGAGGAAUACUGAUUGCGAAGGCGGCCUGCUAGAACAUAACUGACGCUGAGGCGCGAAAGCGUGGGGAGCAAACAGGAUUAGAUACCCCUGUAGUC